rnacentral:rRNA from 1 species
UACGGAGGGUGCAAGCGUUGUUCGGAUUGACUGGGCGUAAAGGGCGUGUAGGCGGUUGGUCCAGUCUGAUGUGAAAGCCCGGGGCUCAGCCCCGGAAGGGCAUCGGAAACUAGCCAGCUGGAGCGCGAUAGAGGAGGGUGGAAUUCCUGGUGUAGCGGUGAAAUGCGUAGAUAUCAGGAGGAACACCGGCGGCGAAGGCGGCCCUCUGGAUCGUUGCUGACGCUGAGACGCGAAAGCGUGGGGAGCAAACAGG